UCUCCGUUGGUGAACCAGCGGAGGGAUCAUUGCUGGAACUGUGUCCGCAAGGACACAACCCCAGAUACCCUUUGUGAACUUAUUCUUAUAUCGUUGCCUCGGCGCUGAGCUGGGGGCUUCUUUCCAAGGAGCUCUCCCAUGGUCUCUCGGGACGAUGGAGCAAGCCCGCCGGCGGCCAACCAAACUCUUGUUUUUACACUGAAACUCUGAGAAUAAAACAUAAAUGAAUCAAAACUUUCAACAACGGAUCUCUUGGUUCUGGCAUCGAUGAAGACGCAGC
rnacentral:misc_RNA from 1 species